rnacentral:rRNA from 1 species
GGAUCAUUGCUGGAACGCGCCCCGGCGCACCCAGAAACCCUUUGUGAACUUAUACCUUAUUGUUGCCUCGGCGAAGGCCGGCCUCUCCUUAUGAGGCCCCCCGGAGACGGGGAGCAGCCCGCCGGCGGCCAACCAAACUCUUGUUUCUUAGUGAAUCUCUGAGUAAAAAACAUAAAUGAAUCAAAACUUUCAACAACGGAUCUCUUGGUUCUGGCAUCGAUGAAGAACGCAGCGAAAUGCGAUAAGUAAUGUGAAUUGCAGAAUUCAGUGAAUCAUCGAAUCUUUGAACGCACAUUGCGCCCUCUGGUAUUCCGGAGGGCAUGCCUGUUCGAGCGUCAUUUCAACCCUCAAGCCUGGCUUGGUGUUGGGGCACUGCUUCGAGAGAAGCAGGCCCUGAAAUCUAGUGGCGAGCUCGCUAGGACCCCGAGCGUAGUAGUUAUAUCUCGUUCUGGAAGGCCCUGGCGGUGCCCUGCCGUUAAACCCCCAACUUCUGAAAUUUUGACCUCGGAUCAGGUA